AUUGAACGCUGGCGGCAGGCCUAACACAUGCAAGUCGAACGAGUGGCGGACGGGUGAGUAAUGUCUGGGAAACUGCCUGAUGGAGGGGGAUAACUACUGGAAACGGUAGCUAAUACCGCAUACCAUCAGAUGUGCCCAGGGGAUUAGCUAGUAGGUGGGGUAACGGCUCACCUAGGCGACGAUCCCUAGCCGGUCUGAGAGGAUGCCCAGCAACACGGGAACUGAGACACGGUCCAGACUCCUACGGGAGGCAGAAGUGGGGAAUAGUGCACAAUGGGCGAAAGCCUGAUGCAGCAAUGCCGCGUGUAUGAGGAAGGCCUUCGGGUUGUAAAGUACUUUCAGCGGGGAGGCGUUACCCGCAGAAGAAGCAACGGCUAACUCCGUGCCAGCAGCCGCGGUAAUAC
rnacentral:rRNA from 1 species